GCAGGCAGAGCUCAGUGGUAGAGUGCAUACUUAGCACACACUGGGUCCUGGGUUCAAUCCCCAGUACCUCCA
rfam:Camelus ferus unplaced genomic scaffold scaffold14590, whole genome shotgun sequence.